CCCGCACCAGGCCAUAAGCUUCCCUGCUGGGCAAGCAAGCAUAGCUUUCAGGCCAUGAGCCUCCCCGUCUGCUUACAAUGGUGGCAGCUCCAGCACUCAUAUCUGCAGCAGUUCCCAUUCACACCCUGGAUUCUGCUCAAAAAAGUUUGUGCCCAGUUGAAAUUAUUGCAAAAUUUAGUUGGAAGCUUCUUAUACCAUAUGACGCCUCCAUAAUUCCACUGGCUGCUUUCCCCAGGGGCCUCUGUGUGAUACAGUCAGGGAUGGCUUCCCUGGACUCAAGCUGGACAAUGGGUGUGGCUGUAAGACUCUUCCCAUUGCUGCUUCUACUUUUAUAUUUUACAUGGCUCCCUAAAUUUACUCCAACUCUAGAUAAGGUCAAAUCCUUCUCCCAUGAUCUGGAUUUUCAGAUUCCCCAGUGGGGAUGUGUAUUUGGAGGCAGGUUUCCCCCCAACACACACACACAUAUUUUUGCCUUUCACAUGGAAUUUGUAGCAGCAUGCUGCUUCUUUCAAAGGAUCUGUGAAUUUUUUCAGUUUCUUUGGUAUGUUCCUGUUGUGGUUCUUAGAGAAAAUAUUCACAGUGUGAGCCUCCAUCCACUGUUCUGUCAUCCCAGUGGGAGCUGCACAUUAGCCCUAUCUCCUAGCCACCGUCUUUCUCCUCUCUCCUGCCAUUUCGCUUGCACUCUGUUCCUAGACCUAUAAGUUUUGAGAAUUAAGAUAACAGGAUUUUCCCACCACAGAGGGUUCUUCUGUUUCUACUCCUCAGUUCCUCCAUCCUUAAACCCACAAAAGGUUACACCUCUCAGCAACAUCUGUCUUAAGAAUUUAUACUCUAUAUUAAGAAUUAUUGAUGGUUAUCACUUACAUUACUUCUCCUGAUCUUUUUGAGAAGAGAAAGUACAAUCUUUGCUUUACUAGAUGGACUCAGUUUUUUACAUCAAUAUUUUUUGUGCUUUUAUACACACUAGAACAUGGGAGCAAAUGAUUUCUUUGUGCUUUCGCUGCUACUUACCAAGGGAAUUCCUUCCUUCCUACCUCCCUUCUUUCCUUCUUUCCUUCCUUCCUCUCUCUCUUUAACCUAUAUGCACGUGAUAAAAAUUUGGGUUAAUUAAUAGGGAGUCUGAUAUACCUAUUGCUCCAAAUAGGACACUCCCAAUGCAUUUAUAUUAUAGUAGCUUACAAAAUAAAUGCUGGGUUUUUUCCUGCAUACAGAAAUUAAGCAACAGGAUUUUGUUUCCAGCUACGUUGACUGCCAGUCUAUAAUUAUCAGAGCAACAUCUCUCUUCAGUCCAUCUUCAGCUUAUCAGUCUAGUAGUGCUAAAUGUGCACAUAUGGGACUUUUAUUAAGUCAGUACCACUAUUCUGUUUUCAAAUUAUUUCCUAUUCCUGAAGUAUAUAUUCAGUAAUUUGAAGGCUGUGUAAUUAAAGAAGAUGUCUAACUUAGCUUAAGCUCAUUUAAAGUAAUCAAGCACCUUUUACCUCCUCAUCCAUCUUGGACUUCAGUUCCUCCACCCCAGCAAUGUUUAUUCUAACUAGCAUGGAAUAAUUUUAUUUGAUGGAGAAGAUGGAGGCAACAUGGAUUUGUGAAGUUUUUUGAUCCCUUCUCCUGUUAAUGAUCUUCCUCAUCUGUAUUCUUCUCCUUGCCUUUCUCUAACCUUUUUUCAAUCAUUGGUCCAUUCAGAACUUUGGUAUCCUCCAGCACCUCCUAAUGUUUUGUGCCAUUUUUAUAUCUACCUUGUCUUAUGAUUUUCCUCCAUCUUCUUCUACCAUACUUCUUCCCUUGUAACCAUAUCUUCACAUACCCUAAAGGGAAGAGAUUUGUUUUCAGUUGUGUUCCAGCCUCUUCAGAUUCCUCUGGGGUCAUAGCAAAGUCUGUCUUGCCAAAAUAUCACGUAGCUAUAACCUUGCGCCAAAUAGCACAUCUUGUUUCCAAAAGCUGUUCUUUGGCAGCUGGUAGGAACAUGGAUUAUGCAUAUCCACAGAAAUCACAAUGCCUGCAGAGGAUUUGAUUCUUCUCCCCCAAGUUGAGGCUGUGAUUGGAAAUAAGGUGUUUCAUUCUGGCUCCUGCAGGAAGAAGACACCUGGAGGCAGACACAGAUGGAACCAUGAGGUAUUCAGAAUACUCCAUGCAUGCUAUAUAAUUUUCUGAUAUCUAUAUAUGUUUUGGCUCUUAAGAGCCUUUGGGGAAAAAAUCGUAAAAUGAAAGACCAUUUUUAAUUGAUUCUUCAAAAAUUAAAUAUACUCUAAAACUUGGCUCUAAAAUUUCUUCACACAGUUUUGACCUACAUUAAGAGAUACAGGUACUUUAAGAAAAUGUUUCUUGAAAACUGUAUUUGAGGCAGUUUAUCAGCUGAAGCCAAGGCUAAGGCAUUGCUAAGGAAAUCUGUUACCCUGGGAUACUAAUUAACUCCAAAUAUUGCAUAUAAAUUAAGCUAGCAGCUACUGAAAGAAACAGCUUAUGGAAAAGAAAAAACUAAAGAGGUUGGAAAGAAAACUACUGUCUUUCUAAUUAGGGAAAAAGACAUCAGGGGUAUGGGAGAAACCCUUUUCUCUACAUCUCAGCCCACUAUUCUUUUUCUAGUAGCUUCCAUCCUUUUCUCUCUCCUUUUGUUUUCCUUUCCCCUUUCUCCAUGGCAGAUGUGAUUUAUUGGCUAGCAUGACCAGGUAAAAAAGCAUCUCUUCCCACGGAGGACUGCUGUCCUUGUCUUGUGUGUGUGUGUGUGUGUGUGUGUGUUAAGAACAUUUCAUGUGAGAUUUACGCUCUUAAAUUUUUAACUGUACAGUACAACAUUGUUAACUAUAGGCACGUAGGUUAUACAGCAGAGCUCUAGAACGUAUUCAUCUUAUGUAACUGAGACAUAAUUAAUCAACAUCUCCCCAUCUUUAACUUUGCCCAGCUCCUGGCAAUCACCAUUUCGCCUCCACCCCUAUGAGUGUGACUAUUUUGGAUACCUCAUAGAAGUGCAAUCUGCAACAUUUGUCCUUUUGUCACUGGUUUAUUUCACUUAGCACAACGUUCUCCAUGUGCGUCCAUACUGUCACAAUGACAGGAUUUCCUUAUUUCCUGCAGCUGAAUAAUAUUCCACUGUAUGUAUAUGCCACAUUUUUCUUCUCCAUUCAUCUACUGAUAGAUAUUUAGGCUAGUGCCAAUAAUACUGCAAUGAACACAGGAGUACAGAUAUUUUUGAGAUCCUGAUUUCCGUUCUUUUGGAUAUAUGCCCAGAAGUGGGAUAGUUGGAUUAUAUGGUAGUUCUAUUUUAAAUUUUUUAGGAAUCUUCAUACUGUUUGCCAUAGUGGCUAUCCAUUUUACAUUCCCACCAAGAGUAUAUAAGGGUUCUAAUGUCUCCACAUCCUCAGAAACAAUUGUUAUAUCUUGUUUUAUUGGAUAUUAGCCAUCCCAGUAGUUGUGAGGUAGUAUCUCAUUGUGAUUUUUAAAUGACCUUGUCUCUAUAAUAAGGAAGGGGUUCUCUAAGCAGAUCCUUCCUAGCUGUGUUCUCAAGCUUGCUGGGGCAUGAAUAGCCCAAGCUCCUUCCCUGGAGAGUCUAACUCAUCAGGUCUGGGGCAAAGCCUUGAAAUCUGUAUGUUUCGCAAGUGUCCCAGGUGAUUCUUAUGAGUCUGCAAGUUUUGAAAACAUUGCCUCUCCCUCCGAGAAUGAGACCUGGUCACUGCCGCUGCAGUGGGAUGCAGCAGUUCUGGCUGGGCAAACUCAAUCCAGUUGGGAUGGUGUUCACAGCGGAAGCUGCAGGAAUCAGCUCUCCUUUCCAGACAGCUUUGUUUCUCUGUUAAAUGUUUUAAGCCUAGUUGUUAGAAUAAAAACUUUACUUUUAUUUUAAUGUGCAAAUAUAAGCAUACUUAUCACUUAUUUUGGGUAAACUCACAAGUGCCUGAUUUACUGCUUUUCAUCUGGACUGCCAUAUAACCACUGGCCAGCACUUCCCUCUGGCAGCAGCACCUCUAAUCCCAGGUUUUGUUUAAAAUAUGACAACCUUUUCUGAUCCUCUUAAUAAUCCAAGCCAACCACUGAAAAUCAUUAUUCCACAACCACCAGCACCAAGGAAAAUGACCACAAUAAACAUGUCAUUUGUACCAUCCACUGACCUUCCACUCCAUCCAGAUGUUUAAAUGGGUUUGUACAGAAAUGCACUCUUACCUAAGUAGGUUCUUUUCCUUUAAGAAAUCAUGUGUCCCAAAAAGGAUGAGAGAGACACUGUGUUAAGCCAAAAUUCACAUACAUGUCAUCCUUACAGAUCUCUGAGAAAUGAAAAUAUGUGUCUGCUAUUUGGGAAUGUAUUAUACUGCAGUUUGAAGAUUCAACCUAUUAGCCAUGGUUCAAUUAAGACUAUAGAUAGAGUAGUCCAAGUCAAUAAUGAUGUUAGUGUCACUCAUGUGCUACUCUGUUAAGUGGCCUAUUGUGUAUUCUCAACAAACUAUUUGUCAAGAAUACAAAGACAGUAAUGCCACACCAUGCUCACUUACUCCAAACCUUAGAAACACUUAUAGCAAAGGGCUGCUCUUGGAAAAGGAAAACAUCCCUUAUGCAAUAUCAGGAUGUCUCUACUCGCGAAAUUACAAAUCACUUCUGAGCAUCAUGGCUCUGAAUUCUAUUUUUAAAAUCUGACCUUGAGCUAAUUUGCCAAGCUCUAACUUCUUUUUGACUGUACAGAGCUUUUCACUUCUCUUGAUCAAUUUCACACAUUUGCUAACAUCUCUUGGCAAAAGGAGUUAAAAUUAUUUGAUGAAAACAUUCUUGCGAGCUGGCCAUUAUUCAAAAAUGGAUUCUAGGAAGGAUUCUCUAUUAGUUUCAUAGAGGUGAUAUUUAAAUUUCUGACUGUAAAGGAAAUAACUGAGACGGAAGGAAAGAACUUGUGUGAGUAAGAGAUUAGAAAGGAGUCAUCCAUUUAACAAAGAUAGAAAUUCACAUCAAACAUUCCUUGACCAAGCACCUAUUUCCUUAGAACCUUUGUUUUAAAGAAGGACUCUGAAAUGUCACUGCUUCCUCCAAAGUCUAUGGAAAGGGUGCUGAACUUAAAGAUGCAUGGCUUUGGGUCCAAGUGGGUUCUCAUGCUGAUUCUCUCUGGGUACAACUUUGGAAAAUCGUUUCACUUCUCUGCUUCAGUUCCAUCUUCAGUCAAAUGGGAGAAUAGAAACCCAUGUCCUACCUCACGUAGUAGCUAUGAGGAAUAACUGUGAAGCUUUCUCAAACAUAGUAGACAAGCUCCAAUAAACACCAACAAGUUCUCCGCAGUGACAGCACUAUUAAUAAACAACCUUUAUUCUUCCAUGGCAAUGAGCCAAGUCUUUACCCCAAAACUCAACUAACUACAAGUCCUCAAUUCCCAGAUUCAAAUAGCACAUUGGAAUAUCCUAUUUUGUAUAGGUCAGGGAAUUACAUUCAAGGAAAGGAGAAAUGAUCAAACAUAGUCCAACAUCCUUAUAGCAGGAUGCCCUGAGAGAGGCUGGUUUCCCAUGAGCUCUGUUGUGCACCAGGACUCUGGCCACUGGGCAGACAAACCAUAGAAUGUCUGUUUUUCUAAUAAAGCCAAAUAAGGACCAAUGGUAGCCCACCUUUUCCAUGGUGAAGACCACAGAUGUGGAAAUACAACACUCUGAAUUACUCAUAGUAGUAGCCACACCAGCAUCGGACCAAAUGGCAGACA
ensembl:lncRNA